UACAGAGGGUGCGAGCGUUAAUCGGAAUUACUGGGCGUAAAGCGUGCGUAGACGGUUAUUUAAGUCGGGUGUGAAAUCUCGGAGCUUAACUCCGAAACUGCAUUCGAUACUGCCGUGCUUGAGGACUGGAGAGGAGACUGGAAUUUACGGUGUAGCGGUGAAAUGCGUAGAUAUCGUAAGGAAGACCAGUGGCGAAGGCGGGUCUCUGGACAGUUCCUGACGCUGAGGCACGAAGGUCAGGGGAGCAAACGGG
rnacentral:rRNA from 1 species